UACGGAGGGUCCCAAGCGUUAUCCGGAUUUAUUGGGUUUAAAGGGUCCGCAGGCGGGAAAAUAAGUCAGUGGUGAAAUUCUAUUGCUUAACGAUAGAACUGCCAUUGAUACUGUUUUUCUUGAGUGUAAUUGAAGUGGGCGGAAUGUGUCGUGUAGCGGUGAAAUGCAUAGAUAUGACACAGAACACCGAUUGCGAAGGCAGCUCACUAAAUUAUUACUGACGCUCAGGGACGAAAGCGUGGGGAGCAAACAGGAUUAGAUACCCCAGUAGU
rnacentral:rRNA from 1 species